rnacentral:tRNA from 1 species
ACCCAGCUAAUAUGGUGAAUAUUACACUCGGCUUGUAAUCGAGUGGGUUCAGGUUCGAAUCCUGAGUAAGGCA